UGGCUGGAGGGGCGCGAGCGGCAGGGAGGGGCGGGGCGGAUGCGGGUCCGCGGUUAGUCUCGCGCGGCGGUCGUCCCCGCGUGAGGUACUCUGUGGUG
rnacentral:pre_miRNA from 1 species